CUCCUGCUCCGGCCAUAUAGGACGUGCUGGCUUCCCCUUCGCCUUCUGCCGUCAUUCAAGCUGCCGAUGGAACACAACCUGCCUCCGGCACAGACGCCGAUCUUCAAUCCCUUCUCCCCAGCACCGGUGACAGCCCUAGUCAUCCUUCAAGGCCCAGUUCAAAUGCCUCCAUCUCCAUACCAUUUCAGUUCGUGGUUGGGGAUAGGAGCUCCCGUCGCGAUCGUCAUCUUUCUGCUGCAGACAGAUUUUGUUUCCCUCUGUAAAGUUGGAGUGCAGGGGACAAGGCUCUGAACAUAGCAUUUAAGUGACAGAGAUGGUUGUGGUCAUGUCCCAGUAUGUAUUUAUCUAUCUCCUGCUCCAGUAAAUGUCACACUCCCCGGGGCAGCGAGGGUGUCACCAUCUCGGUGUCCCCACAGCACCUAGCACAGUCUCCCAGACGAUCCAGGGCAGACCCUUCGCAUGGGAACGCAAGUCCCUGUUUGUCCGGGUCACUCAGGUUUACGCCUAUUGUCCUGUAAUUAUUUAUGCACCCUCUUUUGCUGUCAUAGGUGUUGGGUUGGAACAGUCACCCUAUUUAGCACACACCUAUUAAGCCAAAGCACCUUAGUGUGUAGGCUUCCCUCACCCAAACCUGUUCCCAAAGGUCCUUUCUCACCGGCUACUUUGGGGGCCCCAGUAAUCUUCCCGACCCCUCUGGUCAGGGCCAGAGUGGGGAGCAAGUGUCUAAAGCAAGGCCUUCAACAAGGUCCCUUCCCUGAGAGACUCAGUUUGUGACGCUUGUGAUUGUGAAGCUCAAAUGGAUUAUGUGACUCCACAUAACUCUGCAAACUGUGGUGCGCCCUAUUAUUGCCGUUUAACUUGUCAGUGUCGGUUCUGCACCCCUGCAGGCUCUGUAGGGGCUGGAGAA
rnacentral:lncRNA from 10 species